rnacentral:rRNA from 1 species
GCCCUAANUCUCGAUGCAUACCCACUAAAGCAUCCGCCCGAGGACUACGAGCACAAACGCUUAAAACUCUAAGGACUUGGCGGUGCCCCAAACCCACCUAGAGGAGCCUGUUCUGUAAUCGACAACCCACGAUACACCCAACCACUCCUUGCCCAGCCAGCCUACAUACCGCCGUCGCCAGCUCACCUUUCCUGAGAGUACAGCAGUGAGCGCAAUAGUCCCAACCCCACUAAUAAGACAGGUCAAGGUAUAGCCAAUGAAGUGGAAGAAAUGGGCUACAUUUUCUAACCUAGAAAACCAAACGAAAGGGGGCAUGAAAUAACCCCCAGAAGGUGGAUUUAGCAGUAAAGAGGAAUAAUAAAGUCCCCUUUAAACCGGCUCUGAGGCAC